CCUACGGGUGGCAGCAGUGAGGAAUAUUGGUCAAUGGACGAGAGUCUGAACCAGCCAAGUAGCGUGAAGGAUGACUGCCCUAUGGGUUGUAAACUUCUUUUAUAUGGGAAUAAAACGUUCCACGUGUGGGAUUUUGUAUGUACCAUCUGAAUAAGGAUCGGCUAACUCCGUUCCAGCAGCCGCGGUAAUACUGAGGAUCCGAUCAUUAUCCGGAUUUAUUGGGGUUAAAGGGAGCGUAGGUGGAUUGUUAAGUCAGUUGUGAAAGUUUGCGGCUCAACCGUAAAAUUGCAGUUGAAACUGGCAGUCGUGAGUACAGUAGAGGUGGGCGGAAUU
rnacentral:rRNA from 1 species